rnacentral:rRNA from 1 species
UGGCUCAGGACGAACGCUGGCGGCGUGCUUAACACAUGCAAGUCGAACGAUGAAGCCCUUCGGGGUGGAUUAGUGGCGAACGGGUGAGUAACACGUGGGCAAUCUGCCCUUCACUCUGGGACAAGCCCUGGAAACGGGGUCUAAUACCGGAUAACACCGGCUUCCGCAUGGAAGCUGGUUAAAAGCUCCGGCGGUGAAGGAUGAGCCCGCGGCCUAUCAGCUUGUUGGUGGGGUAAUGGCCUACCAAGGCGACGACGGGUAGCCGGCCUGAGAGGGCGACCGGCCACACUGGGACUGAGACACGGCCCAGACUCCUACGGGAGGCAGCAGUGGGGAAUAUUGCACAAUGGGCGAAAGCCUGAUGCAGCGACGCCGCGUGAGGGAUGACGGCCUUCGGGUUGUAAACCUCUUUCAGCAG